UACGGAGGCUGCAAGUGUUAUCCGGAAUCACUGGGCGUAAAGCGUCUGUAGGUGGUUUAAUAAGUCAACUGUUAAAUCUUGAGGCUCAACCUCAAAAUCGCAGUCGAAACUAUUAGGCUAGAGUAUAGUAGGGGUAAAGGGAAUUUCCAGUGGAGCGGUGAAAUGCGUAGAGAUUGGAAAGAACACCGAUGGCGAAGGCACUUUACUGGGCUAUUACUAACACUCAGAGACGAAAGCUAGGGUAGCAAAUGGG
rnacentral:rRNA from 1 species